CGGUUGAUCCUGCCGGAGGCCAUUGCUAUCGGAAUCCGAUUUAGCCAUGCUAGUCGCACGGGUUUAGACCCGUGGCGAACAGCUCAGUAACACGUGGCCAAACUGCCCUGUGGACGGGGAUAAUCUCGGGAAACUGAGGCUAAUCCCCGAUAGGGCUUCCAUCCUGGAGUGGAGGAAGUCCAAAAGUUGCGCUGCGGCACCACAGGAUGUGGCUGCGGCCGAUUAGGUAGACGGUGGGGUAACGGCCCACCGUGCCAGUAAUCGGUACGGGUGAUGAGAGUCAGAGCCCGGAGACGGUAUCUGAGACAAGAUACCGGGUCCUACGGGGCGCAGCAGGCGCGAAACCUUUACACUGCACGACAGUGCGAUAGGGGGAUUCCGAGUGCGAGGGCAUACAGUCCUCGCUUUUCUGGACCGUAAGGAGGUCCAAGAAUAAGGGCUGGGCAAGACCGGUGCCAGCCGCCGCGGUAAUACCGGCAGCCCGAGUGAUGGCCGAUAUUAUUGGGCCUAAAGCGUCCGUAGCUGGCCAGACAAGUCCGUUGGGAAAUCCACGCGCUCAACGCGUGGGCGUCCAGCGGAAACUGCCUGGCUUGGGGCCGGAGGACUCGAGGGGUACGUCCGGGGUAGGAGUGAAAUCCCGUAAUCCUGGACGGACCACCGGUGGCGAAAGCGCCUCGAGAGGACGGACCCGACAGUGAGGGACGAAAGCCAGGGUCUCGAACCGGAUUAGAUACCCGGGUAGUC
rnacentral:rRNA from 1 species